UACAGAGGUGGCAAGCGUUGUUCGGAAUUACUGGGCGUAAAGGGCGCGUAGGCGGCCUACUAAGUCAGACGUGAAAUCCCCCGGCUUAACCUGGGAACUGCGUCUGAUACUGGAAGGCUUGAGGAUGGGAGAGGGAUGUAGAAUUUCCGGUGUAGCGGUGAAAUGCGUAGAUAUCGGAAGGAACAUCAGUGGCGAAGGCGACUUCCUGGACCAAUACUGACGCUCAGGUGCGAAAGCGUGGGGAGCAAACAGG
rnacentral:rRNA from 1 species